rnacentral:rRNA from 1 species
AGAGUUUGAUCCUGGCUCAGGAUGAACGCUGGCGGCGUGCCUAAUACAUGCAAGUCGAGCGAACAGACGAGGAGCUUGCUCCUCUGACGUUAGCGGCGGACGGGUGAGUAACACGUGGAUAACCUACCUAUAAGACUGGGAUAACUUCGGGAAACCGGAGCUAAUACCGGAUAAUAUAUUGAACCGCAUGGUUCAAUAGUGAAAGACGGUUUUGCUGUCACUUAUAGAUGGAUCCGCGCCGCAUUAGCUAGUUGGUAAGGUAACGGCUUACCAAGGCAACGAUGCGUAGCCGACCUGAGAGGGUGAUCGGCCACACUGGAACUGAGACACGGUCCAGACUCCUACGGGAGGCAGCAGUAGGGAAUCUUCCGCAAUGGGCGAAAGCCUGACGGAGCAACGCCGCGUGAGCGAUGAAGGUCUUCGGAUCGUAAAACUCUGUUAUUAGGGAAGAACAAAUGUGUAAGUAACUAUGCACGUCUUGACGGUACCUAAUCAGAAAGCCACGGCUAACUACGUGCCAGCAGCCGCGGUAAUACGUAGGUGGCAAGCGUUAUCCGGAAUUAUUGGGCGUAAAGCGCGCGUAGGCGGUUUUUUAAGUCUGAUGUGAAAGCCCACGGCUCAACCGUGGAGGGUCAUUGGAAACUGGAAAACUUGAGUGCAGAAGAGGAAAGUGGAAUUCCAUGUGUAGCGGUGAAAUGCGCAGAGAUAUGGAGGAACACCAGUGGCGAAGGCGACUUUCUGGGUCUGUAACUGACGCUGAUGUGCGAAGCGUGGGAUCAAACAGGAUUAGAUACCCUGGUAGUCCACGUCGUAAACCAUGAGUGCUAAGUGUUAGGGGGUUUUCCUCCCAUAGUGCUGCCACUAACGCAUUAAGCACUCCGGCUGGGGAGUACGACCG